rnacentral:rRNA from 1 species
AUUGAACGCUGGCGGCAUGCUUUACACAUGCAAGUCGAACGGCAGCGCGGGCUUCGGCCUGGUGGCGAGUGGCGAACGGGUGAGUAAUACAUCGGAACGUGCCCAGUAGUGGGGGAUAGCUCGGCGAAAGCCGGAUUAAUACCGCAUACGACCUGGGGGUGAAAGCGGGGGAUCUUCGGACCUCGCGCUAUUGGAGCGGCCGAUGGCAGAUUAGCUAGUUGGUGGGGUAAAGGCCUACCAAGGCGACGAUCUGUAGCUGGUCUGAGAGGACGACCAGCCACCACUGGACUUGGACCCCGCCCCGACUCCUACGGGGGGGCGCAGUGGGGAAUUUUGGACAAUGGGCGAUAGCCUGAUCCAGCAAUGCCGCGUGUGUGAUGAAGGCCUUCGGGUUGUAAAGCACUUUUGGCGGGAACGAAAAGGACUGUGCCAAUACCACGGUUCGAUGACGGUACCCGCAGAAUAAGCACCGGCUAACUACGUG